UACACAAAGCUGCUGGUGACAGUUCUGCAUCACUACAGCAAGUUCUGAGAUGGUUUGCAAUAGAAGAAGUUCAGAUUCUCAUCAAGGGAGCAAUUGCUGAACAUUCAGAAAUGGAACAAGCAAGAAUUUUGAAGCAAUUUUGGUCUGCAUCCCCAGAAAUGUACUGGUUUUAUGGAAUAGAGCUACAGAAGGCUCCUUACACUUCGUCCUUUGACGGUAGCAUUGAGAAAAAGGCAUGCCUUGUGCGAUGGGGUCAUUAAUGAUGGAUGCUGUCAUUUUGAGAUUCCAACAGCUGCAUCGUACAAAUCAAGGCAGCUUUUUCUUCUCUCCUGCAAUGACUCACUAAGUGCCGGAGGAACUCGACAAACCAGGCAACAUCAAUGGAGAGAAAAGAACAGAGGAUGAAGACUUGCCCUUAGUUUUAUUCACAGGUCUUCAUUUCCACCUCAUGCAGUGAGAUCUGCUGUGAUUCACAAGCCUUCCCAUGCAGCAACAUUUGUGUUUUCUUCAACGCCACCCUAUCACAGAGAUCUCCUUUCUUUCAUCUUCCCUCCCCAUUCUCUGUCACUUGAAGUUAGUAUGUUUAGUCUGGUUCCGAUGAAAUGUCACCAGCCUGAAAAGUUAACCUUACCUCUCUCUCAACAGAUACUGACUGACCUGUGGAGUAUUUGCAAUACUUCCUGUCUUUAUUUCAAUUACUUAGAUAGAGUUAGAGUCAUAGAGCACUACAGCCCAGCAACAAGCCCUCAGCCCAUCUAGUCUGUUAUACUGCUAUUCUGGCUGGACUCAACAUGCACCUGGACCAUAGUUCUCCAUACCCAUCCCAUCCAUCUCCUUAACCAAAUGUCUCUUUAAUGUUGAAACAUAACCCGCAUCCACCACUUCCACUGGGUGCUCAGUCCACACUCUCAUUGCCCUCUGAAUUCUACCUCGUGUUCCCCUUAAACAUUUCACCUUUCACCCUUAACCCAUGACCUCUAGUUCUAGUCCAAGCAAAUCUCAGUGGGAAAUGAUUGCUUUGCCCUAUCUAUACUCCUCAUAAUUUUGCAUACCUCCAUCAAAUCUCCUCUCAGUCUUCGACACUUCAGGGAAUAAUGUCCUGAACUAUUUAAACUUUCCUAUCAAUCAGGUCCAAAAAUUCCAGCAACAUAGGUCAAUAGGAAGAACAUGCUAACAGCAACAGUGGGGUCAAAAAAACAGGUGUAGUUUCUAAGUUCUUGUUGGAUGCAAUCGAAGGGAGAUGAGGAAGAGUGUUUUCACCAAGGUAGUGUUAAAGUUUUAGAACUCACUGCCUGAGAAAGUGAUCGAGGCAGAAGUUGCCAUCGUAGUGCUUGAAUAUGUACCUGAAAAACCUUGAUUUACCAAGCAGCAAACGUGAUGCUACAAGAUAAUUUCAUGGAGAGAUGCAACAUAGAAACAGGCCCUUCAGCCCAUUAUUUCCAUGCCAAUCUUCAAACACACAUUUACACUAAUCCUAUCAGAAUUCCACUUUUAUUCCCCCUCGUUCACAUCAACAUCUUCCACUCAUCUACACACCAAGGGCAAAAUAACAGUGUUCGAUUAACUUACCAAACAACACGUCUUUGUGAUGUGUGACAAUAGACAAUAGACAGUAGGUGCAGGAGUAGGCCAUUCGUCCCUUCUAGCCAGCACCACCAUUCACUGUGAUCAUGGCUGAUCAUACACAAUCAGUACCCUGUUCCUGCCCUCUCCCCAUAUCCCUUGACCCCGCUAUCUAUAAGAGCUCUAUCUAACUCUCUCUUGAAUGAAUCCAGAGACUUGGCCUCCACUGCCUUCUGGGGCAGAGCAUUCCACAUAUCCACCACUCUCUGGGUGAAAAAGUUUUUCCGCAUCUCUGUUCUAAAUGGCCUACCCUUAUUCUUAAACUGUGGCCUCUAGUUCUGGACUCAACCAUCAGCAGGAUCAUGCUUCCUGCCUCCAGUGUGUCCAAUCCCUUAAUAACCUUAUAUGUUUCAAUCAGAUCCCCUCUCAUCCUUCUAAAUUCCAGUGUAUACAAGCCCAGUCACUCCAAUCUUUCAACAUAUGACAGUCCUGCCAUUCCGGGAAUUAACCUUGUGAACCUACGCUGCACUCCCUCAAUA